AUCCGGGUGGUGCAGGACGCGCCACCCGCAAGCGGGCGCCCCGGGGCGCCCGCUUGCAAACGGGGCCGACAAGGCCCCGCAGGUGCCCGGGCGGGCCAGGACGGCCAGCCCAGGCAUCGCUCU
rnacentral:ncRNA from 1 species